GAUGAACGCUGGCGGCGUGCCUAAUACAUGCAAGUCGAGCGAAUGGAUUAAGAGCUUGCUCUUAUGAAGUUAGCGGCGGACGGGUGAGUAACACGUGGGUAACCUGCCCAUAAGACUGGGAUAACUCCGGGAAACCGGGGCUAAUACCGGAUAACAUUUUGAACCGCAUGGUUCGAAAUUGAAAGGCGGCUUCGGCUGUCACUUAUGGAUGGACCCGCGUCGCAUUAGCUAGUUGGUGAGGUAACGGCUCACCAAGGCAACGAUGCGUAGCCGACCGGAGAGGGUGAUCGGCCACACGGGGACUGAGACACGGCCCAGACUCCUACGGGAGGCAGCAGUAGGGAAUCUUCCGCAAUGGACGAAAGCCUGACGGAGCAACGCCGCGUGAGUGAUGAAGGCUUUCGGGUCGUAAAACUCUGUUGUUAGGGAAGAACAAGUGCUAGUUGAAUAAGCUGGCACCUUGACGGUACCUAACCAGAAAGCCACGGCUAACUACGUGCCAGCAGCCGCCGUAA
rnacentral:rRNA from 1 species